rnacentral:rRNA from 1 species
UUUCAAACUUGAGAGUUUGAUCCUGGCUCAGAACGAACGCUGGCGGCAGGCUUAACACAUGCAAGUCGAACGCCCCGCAAGGGGAGUGGCAG